ACUCCUGCUUGGACAUCGCCAGGCUCAGCUAGAGAAGGCAGAAAAAGUUCCUCCAACUCCUUCCCCAGGCACCUAUGCAGGCUCCACACUCCUGCCUGAACAGCUAUGAUUUUAAAAGCCAUCGAGUCAUGAAGAGAAGUGUGCCAGUGUGUGCUGGACUCAGUUUCCCCUGUGCACCAUUUUCCCCAGUCAGCCCUGCACCUUCCAAGAACUAUGACCCGAAGGCACACCCUAGUCAGCUCAGGCCCCACAUUCCUGCAAAAAUAAGGCUCCAGGGCUCCCUCAUCGCAGCAUGGGUUCUGCAGGAAGCCCCAGUGCCAAGUGGCUUUCAAAACUAGCCUCAGCUAGCAACGUGGCGGCUAUUUCAGCGACCGACAAAAGCAGCUCCCCCAGCCUCCCUUGGUGUUUGUGGUCCCUUUUGUUCCAGCCAGGCACCAUGAGGAAAAUGCAGCAACCGUUUGGAAACAAAGGCUCGGGCAGGCUCUCUCCAGUCUGAAAAGCCCACUUUCACUUGAGUUUCAGGUGAGUCAAGGCUUGAGGAUCUGGAGACUAAGCAACUCUCAAGAGAAAGUUCUGCUGGGACCCCUCCCUUGGUCUUCCCUUUCUGCCCCCUCUGAUGCCCCCUUCAUCCAUCCCUGCCUGCCUUCUGGUCUGUCCCUGCAGCGUGAGUGCCAGACAGAGGCCUGUUCUGAUGUCCUGACAUGCUACAAUUAUGCAGAUUUACACAGCAAGCAUAAGACCUUCUCCGCAUGUAUGGCUUCCCCAUUCCCAAGCAGACCAUGAACUUCCUAAGGAAAGUGACCGAAUUCCGCACUUCUCAACCCUCGCGGAGGGGCAGGGAGAUGGAUGAAGAAAUAAAGAGAGGGUGAAAUCAUUCUGGGAAGUUUCCUUGAAAGGGGUGAGUCAUAAAGAGGGGGUUGGGUGCAGGUGAGGAGGAGGAAGAUUACAGACUGCAGGGAUGAGCAAAUACCAUUUCCCAGGAUUUCCUGAAGUUUUUCUCCCCUCCCAAAGCCCAAAUCUGCCUCUUUCUGGGGCCCAGCGAGGACCCUGGAAGACAGAGAUCCUAGAAAAAGCAGAGGGAAAAGAAGAGGAAGAGAACAUGGAGAAACCGCCAGGGAACAGAACUCUUGGUCCAGGAGGCGCAAACCACAAGUGCAAUUAGUCAAAAAAAAACCCUGAAAUUAAAAAAUGAUUCCAAGCUGAGGAGGGGAGUACAUAAGUUACUGCAGCCCCAAGACAUUUAUGAAUAAUACAAAUGCUGUGAGGUGCUGAGCCUGAGCACAGUUAAUUAAUAUGUACAGGAGCAGAGAUGCACUUGAAAAACAAUAGUGCUGUUUCCCCCUCGCCAGAAGUAAAAAUAUUUCCAGAAA
rnacentral:lncRNA from 1 species